rnacentral:rRNA from 1 species
GCAUUUAUACGGUGAAACUGCGAAUGGCUCAUUAAAUCAGUUAUCGUUUAUUUGAUAGUACCUUACUACAUGGAUACCUGUGGUAAUUCUAGAGCUAAUACAUGCUAAAAACCUCGACUUCGGAAGGGGUGUAUUUAUUAGAUAAAAAACCAAUGCCCUUCGGGGCUCCUUGGUGAAUCAUAAUAACUUAACGAAUCGCAUGGCCUUGCGCCGGCGAUGGUUCAUUCAAAUUUCUGCCCUAUCAACUUUCGAUGGUAGGAUAGUGGCCUACCAUGGUGGCAACGGGUAACGGGGAAUUAGGGUUCGAUUCCGGAGAGGGAGCCUGAGAAACGGCUACCACAUCCAAGGAAGGCAGCAGGCGCGCAAAUUACCCAAUCCCGACACGGGGAGGUAGUGACAAUAAAUACUGAUACGGGGCUCUUUUGGGUCUCGUAAUUGGAAUGAGUACAAUCUAAAUCCCUUAACGAGGAACAAUUGGAGGGCAAGUCUGGUGCCAGCAGCCGCGGUAAUUCCAGCUCCAAUAGCGUAUAUUAAAGUUGUUGCAGUUAAAAAGCUCGUAGUUGAACCUUGGGUCUGGCUGGCCGGUCCGCCUCACCGCGAGUACUGGUCCGGCUGGACCUUUCCUUCUGGGGAACCUCAUGGCCUUCACUGGCUGUGGGGGGAACCAGGACUUUUACUGUGAAAAAAUUAGAGUGUUCAAAGCAGGCCUUUGCUCGAAUACAUUAGCAUGGAAUAAUAGAAUAGGACGUGCGGUUCUAUUUUGUUGGUUUCUAGGACCGCCGUAAUGAUUAAUAGGGAUAGUCGGGGGCGUCAGUAUUCAGCUGUCAGAGGUGAAAUUCUUGGAUUUGCUGAAGACUAACUACUGCGAAAGCAUUCGCCAAGGAUGUUUUCAUUAAUCAGGGAACGAAAGUUAGGGGAUCGAAGACGAUCAGAUACCGUCGUAAGAGGUUAACCAUAAACUAUGCCGACUAGGGAUCGGGUUUUGUGAGUGUUCUAUGAUGACCCGCUCGGCACCUUACGAGAAAUCAAAGU